rnacentral:rRNA from 1 species
UUCCAGACUCCUACGGGAGGCAGCAGUGAGGAAUAUUGGUCAAUGGGCGAGAGCCUGAACCGGCCAAGUCGCGUGAAGGAUGACGGCCCUACGGGUUGUAAACUUCUUUUGUCAGGGAGCAAUUGAGUCCACGUGUGGGCUUAGCGAGAGUACCUGAAGAAAAAGCAUCGGCUAACUCCGUGCCAGCAGCCGCGGUAAUACGGAGGAUGCGAGCGUUAUCCGGAUUUAUUGGGUUUAAAGGGUGCGCAGGCGGAUUUUUAAGUCAGCGGUCAAAUCGUGGGGCUCAACCCCAUCCAGCCGUUGAAACUGGGGAUCUAGAGUGUGCGAGAGGUAUGCGGAAUGCGUGGUGUAGCGGUGAAAUGCAUAGAUAUCACGCAGAACCCCGAUUGCGAAGGCAGCAUACCGGUGCACAACUGACGCUCAGGCACGAAAGCGUGGGUAUCGAACAGGAUUAGAUACCCCGGUA